AGAGAAGCAAUACUGGAAACAAAAGCUCCUUCUUUAUUCACAGGCAAAUACAGUGAGGAACAGCUGUUCUGCAGGCUAAAGCCCAUAUUAUCCUAGUCAUGACCUCAAUUCUGACCUUAGAAGGUUUCAUGCUCCACUUAAGAGUAGACAGUACUUUUAUUUCUAACCUGGCCUGCUCAUGAAGAUUUUCU
rnacentral:sRNA from 1 species